CGGGCAAGGUCAGGGCCAGAUGCCGGGGUACUGUGGAUGGGGGAUGCGUUGUCGGUAAGUAUGGUGGUGAAAGAGCUCGUAGGAGGGCGGUCGCGUGGGCUGUGAAAACGCGGGGCUCGACCCCGGGCCUGCAGUCGAUACGGGCAGACUAGAGUGCGGUAGGGGAGACUGGAAUUCCUGGUGUAGCGGUGAAAUGCGCAGAUAUCAGGAGGAACACCGGUGGCGAAGGCGGGUCUCUGGGCCGUAACUGACGCUGAGGAGCGAAAGCGUGGGGAGCGAACAGGAUUAGAUACCCUUAGUC
rnacentral:rRNA from 1 species